rnacentral:rRNA from 1 species
CGAUAACGGCGUCGAGCGGCGGACGGGUGAGUAAUGCCUAGGAAAUUGCCCUGAUGUGGGGGAUAACCAUUGGAAACGAUGGCUAAUACCGCAUGAUGCCUACGGGCCAAAGAGGGGGACCUUCGGGCCUCUCGCGUCAGGAUAUGCCUAGGUGGGAUUAGCUAGUUGGUGAGGUAAGGGCUCACCAAGGCGACGAUCCCUAGCUGGUCUGAGAGGAUGAUCAGCCACACUGGAACUGAGACACGGUCCAGACUCCUACGGGAGGCAGCAGUGGGGAAUAUUGCACAAUGGGCGCAAGCCUGAUGCAGCCAUGCCGCGUGUGUGAAGAAGGCCUUCGGGUUGUAAAGCACUUUCAGUCGUGAGGAAGGUAGUGUAGUUAAUAGCUGCAUUAUUUGACGUUAGCGACAGAAGAAGCACCGGCUAACUCCGUGCCAGCAGCCGCGGUAAUACGGAGGGUGCGAGCGUUAAUCGGAAUUACUGGGCGUAAAGCGCAUGCAGGUGGUUUGUUAAGUCAGAUGUGAAAGCCCGGGGCUCAACCUCGGAAUUGCAUUUGAAACUGGCAGACUAGAGUACUGUAGAGGGGGGUAGAAUUUCAGGUGUAGCGGUGAAAUGCGUAGAGAUCUGAAGGAAUACCGGUGGCGAAGGCGGCCCCCUGGACAGAUACUGACACUCAGAUGCGAAAGCGUGGGGAGCAAACAGGAUUAGAUACCCUGGUAGUCCACGCCGUAAACGAUGUCUACUUGGAGGUUGUGGCCUUGAGCCGUGGCUUUCGGAGCUAACGCGUUAAGUAGACCGCCUGGGGAGUACGGUCGCAAGAUUAAAACUCAAAUGAAUUGACGGGGGCCCGCACAAGCGGUGGAGCAUGUGGUUUAAUUCGAUGCAACGCGAAGAACCUUACCUACUCUUGACAUCCAGAGAACUUUCCAGAGAUGGAUUGGUGCCUUCGGGAACUCUGAGACAGGUGCUGCAUGGCUGUCGUCAGCUCGUGUUGUGAAAUGUUGGGUUAAGUCCCGCAACGAGCGCAACCCUUAUCCUUGUUUGCCAGCGAGUAAUGUCGGGAACUCCAGGGAGACUGCCGGUGAUAAACCGGAGGAAGGUGGGGACGACGUCAAGUCAUCAUGGCCCUUACGAGUAGGGCUACACACGUGCUACAAUGGCGCAUACAGAGGGCAGCCAACUUGCGAAAGUGAGCGAAUCCCAAAAAGUGCGUCGUAGUCCGGAUUGGAGUCUGCAACUCGACUCCAUGAAGUCGGAAUCGCUAGUAAUCGUGGAUCAGAAUGCCACGGUGAAUACGUUCCCGGGCCUUGUACACACCGCCCGUCACACCAUGGGAGUGGGCUGCAAAAGAAGUAGGUAGUUUAACCUUCGGGGGGACGCUUACCACUUUGUGGUUCAUGACUGGGGUGAAGUCGUAACAAGGUAGCGCUAGGGGAACCUGGCGCUGG